rnacentral:rRNA from 1 species
AGUGAACGCUGGCGGUAGGCCUAACACAUGCAAGUCGAACGGCAGCACAGUAAGAGCUUGCUCUUACGGGUGGCGAGUGGCGGACGGGUGAGGAAUACAUCGGAAUCUACUUUUUCGUGGGGGAUAACGUAGGGAAACUUACGCUAAUACCGCAUACGACCUACGGGUGAAGGCAGGGGAUCUUCGGACCUUGCGCGAUUGAAUGAGCCGAUGUCGGAUUAGCUAGUUGGCGGGGUAAAGGCCCACCAAGGCGACGAUCCGUAGCUGGUCUGAGAGGAUGAUCGGCCACAUUGGAAGUGAGACAGGGUCAAGACUCCUGCGGGAGGCAGCAGUGGGGAAUAUUAGACAAUGGGCGCAAGCCUGAUACAGCCAGACCGCGUGGGUGAAGAAGGCCUUCGGGUUGUAAAGCCGUUUUGUUGGGAAAGAAAAGCAGCAGGUUAAUACCCCGCUGUUCUGACGGUACCCAAAGAAGAAGCACCGGCUAACUUCGUG